CAGUAGCCGCGGGAAUACGAAGGGGGCUAGCGUUGUUCGGAAUCACUGGGCGUAAAGCGCACGUAGGCGGAUCUUUAAGUCAGGGGUGAAAUCCCGAGGCUCAACCUCGGAACUGCCUUUGAUACUGGGGAUCUCGAGUCCGGAAGAGGUAAGUGGAACUGCGAGUGUAGAGGUGAAAUUCGUAGAUAUUCGCAAGAACACCAGUGGCGAAGGCGGCUUACUGGUCCGGAACUGACGCUGAGGUGCGAAAGCGUGGGGAGCAAACAGGAUUAGAUACCCCUGUAGUCCCUGUCUCUUAUAC
rnacentral:rRNA from 1 species